rnacentral:tRNA from 1 species
GGAGAGGUGGCAGAGCGGUCGAAUGCACCGGUCUUGAAAACCGGAGUCCCGUUUACGGGACCGUGGGUUCGAAUCCUACCCUCUCCG